CAAGUCGAACGCGAAAGCCUCCUUCGGGGGGCAAGUAGAGUGGCGCACGGGUGAGUAACACGUAGGUAAUCUACCUUUGGAUUGGGAAUAACCACCGGAAACGGUGGCUAAUACCGAAUAAUGCAGCGGCACCUAAUGGUGACAGUUGUUAAAGCGGGGGAUCGCAAGACCUCGCGUCUGAAGAGGAGCCUGCGGCAGAUUAGCUAGUUGGUAAGGUAACGGCUUACCAAGGCGAUGAUCUGUAGCCGGCCUGAGAGGGCGGUCGGCCACACUGACACUGACAUACGGGUCAGACUCCUACGGGAGGCAGCAGUCGGGAAUUUUGGGCAAUGGGCGAAAGCCUGACCCAGCAACGCCGCGUGAAGGAUGAAAUCCCUCGGGAUGUAAACUUCGCAAGAACGGGAAGAAUAAGUAAGAGUUAAUAUCUCUUACGAUGACGGUACUGUUUGUAAGCUCCGGCUAACUCCGUGCCAGCAGCCGCGGUAAUACGGGGGGAGCAAGCGUUGUUCGGAUUUACUGGGCGUAAAGGGCGCGUAGGCGGCCACCGCAAGUCAGUUGUGAAAGCUCUGGGCUUAACCCAGAAAGGUCAGCUGAUACUGCGGGGCUAGAGUGCAGAAGGGGCAACUGGAAUUCUCGGUGUAGCGGUGAAAUGCGUAGAUAUCGAGAGGAACACCUGCGGCGAAGGCGGGUUGCUGGGCUGACACUGACGCUGACAGCGCGAAAGCUAGGGGAGCGAACGGGAUUAGAUACCCCGGUAGUCCUAGCCUUAAACGAUGAAUGCUUGGUGUCUGGGGUUUUAUAGUCCCCGGGUGCCGUCGCUAACGCUUUAAGCACUCCGCC
rnacentral:rRNA from 1 species